rnacentral:misc_RNA from 1 species
GUUGAUACAGAACAACGCAUUCAGGUAUGAUCUUUCAUUUUGUGUGCUUUUAUCCUUUGUUAAUGGUUAGUUUUAAAAAUAUAAAUUUAAUGGAAUUGCUAAAACCUCCUUGUUGGGUCAAAUUUAAUCCGCCAUACUCUAUUUUAUUCUUUUUGCAGCCAAGGCCUAAAGUAAAUGAUCAUUUGACAGUUUGUUAUUUAUUUGUUUAUGCUAUCCAUUGUGUAAAGGAUUAUCUGGCUGAUUAUCAACAUGCAAUACAAGAUUUUUGAACCUCUCUAUGUAAUUCUCGUACAAAGAUUGCUGGUGAGACGGUGAUAAAUGUAUUUUAACCAACUGAAUUAAACA